rnacentral:rRNA from 1 species
AAAUUGAAGAGUUUGAUCAUGGCUCAGAUUGAACGCUGGCGGCAGGCCUAACACAUGCAAGUCGAACGGUAACAGGAAGCAGCUUGCUGCUUCGCUGACGAGUGGCGGACGGGUGAGUAAUGUCUGGGAAACUGCCUGAUGGAGGGGGAUAACUACUGGAAACGGUGGCUAAUACCGCAUAACGUCGCAAGACCAAAGAGGGGGACCUUCGGGCCUCUUGCCAUCAGAUGUGCCCAGAUGGGAUUAGCUAGUUGGUGAGGUAACGGCUCACCAAGGCGACGAUCCCUAGCUGGUCUGAGAGGAUGACCAGCCACACUGGAACUGAGACACGGUCCAGACUCCUACGGGAGGCAGCAGUGGGGAAUAUUGCACAAUGGGCGCAAGCCUGAUGCAGCCAUGCCGCGUGUAUGAAGAAGGCCUUCGGGUUGUAAAGUACUUUCAGCGGGGAGGAAGGUGUUGUGGUUAAUAACCGCAGCAAUUGACGUUACCCGCAGAAGAAGCACCGGCUAACUCCGUGCCAGCAGCC